rnacentral:rRNA from 1 species
UAGUACCUUCGGUGCUCGAGUUGUAAUUUGUAGAGGGAUACUUUGGGGCCGUUCCUUGUCUAUGUUCCUUGGAACAGGACGUCAUAGAGGGUGAGAAUCCCGUGUGGCGAGGAGUGCGGUUCUAUGUAAAGUGCCUUCGAAGAGUCGAGUUGUUUGGGAAUGCAGCUCUAAGUGGGUGGUAAAUUCCAUCUAAAGCUAAAUAUUGGCGAGAGACCGAUAGCGAACAAGUACAGUGAUGGAAAGAUGAAAAGAACUUUGAAAAGAGAGUGAAAAAGUACGUGAAAUUGUUGAAAGGGAAGGGCAUUUGAUCAGACAUGGUGUUUUGCGCCCUCUGCUCCUUGUGGGUGGGGGAAUCUCGCAGCUCACUGGGCCAACAUCAGUUUUGGUGGUCGGAUAAAUCCGUAGGAAUGUGGCUUGCCUCGGCAAGUGUUAUAGCCUGCGGGAAUACGGCCAGCUGGGACUGAGGACUGCGACUUUUGUCAAGGAUGUUGGCAUAAUGGUUAUAU